AUUGAACGCUGGCGGCAUGCUUUACACAUGCAAGUCGAACGGCAGCGCGGGCUUCGGCCUGGCGGCGAGUGGCGAACGGGUGAGUAAUACAUCGGAACGUGCCCAGUAGUGGGGGAUAGCUCGGCGAAAGCCGGAUUAAUACCGCAUACGACCUGAGGGUGAAAGCGGGGGAUCUUCGGACCUCGCGCUAUUGGAGCGGCCGAUGGCAGAUUAGCUAGUUGGUGGGGUAAAGGCCUACCAAGGCGACGAUCUGUAGCUGGUCUGAGAGGACGACCAGCCACACUGGGACUGAGACACGGCCCAGACUCCUACGGGAGGCAGCAGUGGGGAAUUUUGGACAAUGGGCGAAAGCCUGAUCCAGCAAUGCCGAGUGUGUGAUGAAGGCCUUCGGGUUGUAAAGCACUUUUGACGGGAACGAAAAGGACUGUGCCAAUACCACGGUUCGAUGACGGUACCCGCAGAAUAAGCACCGGCUAACUACGUG
rnacentral:rRNA from 1 species